AAGGAAAGGCAAAUUUAUUUGCAAAUUCUCACAUCCGUUCCUGAAAACCAUCAGUAAGGAUUUUAUAUACAAUAUAUAAAAUGAGGUCUGGAUCCCGAUACUUUUUUUUCCAACCUGCCUUUUAUCCAGACCCCUGAAUGUUUUGUUCAGGUACCAAAAAACAAACAA